ACCUUCUCGUUGAGCUCCUGUCUGUCAAUUCGUGGCAGCUUAUGGAUUCGCAAGGGAAGGACAGAAAAUUCACAGAACUAGCAUUAUUUUACCUCUGUCUUCGUGCAGAGACAUGUUUGCUGUUUUGUGAGACACUU